CCUACACCUUCUUCUAUUCUGAAUCCAAGAGUUUGAGAGAAGAAUUCCAAACACAAUUCGUUUCCUGAUUCAAAACCAGAAAUCUAUGAUGAAAAAUAUAGAAGUUAGACUCUGUCUGUAAAUACAAAUACUUUCAUUCACUAUCAACAGAUUUCUUUGGGUUACUCCGUUCUCCAAUUAUUCAGUAUUAACUUAUACCUAAACUUAUAACACCGUUUUUCCAUGGACAAGCAAUUAGCAUCCGGAUCAGGACCAGCACCAGCUGAGAGGAAUGAAAGACAACGCCCACCGAUUCCAAAGGCAGCACCUUGGCUUGUUUUCCCACACGGAGAAGGUAGGAAAUUUCAGAGUUUUUAUAAUCCAUGUGAGCCUGAUAAUAGAAAUUGCAUUAAGUCUAUACCAGAGAUGCGAGGAAGAGCAUACUAUCAUAAAACUUGUCAUCAAGGAUGGCUUAUUGUUAUUGGCAAUGUUGGAGAUAAUGCUGAGUAUUCUGUGGCUAACUCCAAUUUAGAUGAUUGUUUCUUGUGGAAUCCUGUAUCUUCUGAAAUUGUUCAAUUGCCUAAUCUAGAUCGCCGGUCUUUCAGUACCGAAUCAAAAAAAUACUUUAUGUUCGAUUUAGUAUUAUCCUCACCACCUCUUCCAAGUAGUUGUAAUAAUCCUGACAAUGAAGCCAACUGCACUGUAUUCCUCAUUUUUAGAGGUAUGAAUGACGAUAAUGAUGAAGUUAGACAUGAUAAGCAUAUUUUAGUUUUUUGUAAACCCGGAGACAAACAAUGGAAAACGAAGGAAUUGGAUAGCCCCAGAGGUGAUCGUUCGAAAUUCAUUGAUUCCCUACUUUGCUUUCAAGGUAAGUUAUAUGCAUUCAGUGGUGAAAAUUGGGUUAUAGAGAUCGAAAUACAAAAACUAUGGCAUAAUGUUGUCGUUGAUGAACAAACACAAUUUCUUAGAAAAUUCAAGGCAGGGGAAGCUGAUUUCACACUAGUAGGAGGAGGAGAAGAGUUUGGUCUUUACAUGGAAAAUUGGCUUGAAUCUGGUAAUGAAAUCUUUAAAGUUUAUUUAAAUUGCAGCCCAAGAGGUUUUAAAAAAGUUAGCUCGACACAUAUCUUCAAGUUGGAUUUCUCAUCGAUGACUUGGGUUUUGUUGAAGUCUUUGGAUGAUCAUGUUUUCUUUUUGUCCACAAACAUGGACAUGUUAGACUUGUACUCUAGAAAGUGUUAUUCAACGUCUAGCGCGUAUUGCUCAGCAGCUGAUAUGGGACUGGGAAGGGGUUGUUUGUUCUAUACACUACCUGAAGAUCAAACCUUGUAUGUAUAUGAAGUAGAAGAUAGUGGUACUAGUGUCAUCUUGCCGUUUUUGGAGCUUCCGACUCCAUGGUUUCUACCUACUUGGAUAAUGAUGCCCACAGCAGUGGACAGGCGCACUGCUGGAAGAAGGAGAAGAAUAACAGAUCUUUUAGUAAGCGAAGAUACAACUGAAACCAGUGUACAAGAGGAGAAUAUGAGCAGGGUAAAUAAUACAGGAGGUGAAUUAGAAGCAUCAAAACAGUGGGAUUUUCUUGAGGAUUAUGACAGUACAGAGGAGAUAGCGAGAUUUCUCCAUCCAGUGGAUUACAAUCACUUCCGUGUAGCCUGUAAACAAAAUUCAAUAUUUCUCCCUGCAUUGAACCAAACAUCGGCUUCUACAAGGACCACAACAACUACGUAUUUAUCUCCAUGGCUGAUUUCCAUCUUUGAAGUUGAUGAAGAGACCAUCUGCAAUGUCGUGGACCCGAUGCAAGAUAAUGAAAAGUAUCUUAUGAAAUUGUCUGAUCAAUUGCUUGUAGGUGCUACAGUCCGUUUUUCGAAAGAUGGAUGGCUUGUAUUGUCUAAAGGGGAAACAACUAUAUUCUGCUACAAUCCCUUCACAAGAGCAAUGAUCUGUCUUCCUGAUGUACCUGAUAAUUAUGCACUUGGUGGAAUGUCAUUCUCGUCGGUACCAACUUCUCGUGAUUGUGUGGUGAUUGCCAUCUCCCGUUGGUGGGAGAGUGGAGGUGACAAUGAGAUAUCUUUCUUGGUCACUGAACCGGGAAAGAGUGCAACUGGUUGGGCAAUUCAUAAAUUCGAUUAUGGAGAAGCCUCCACUGAGGACAACAUUACGCCGUGCAUGGAUAACUUUAUGCCGUGUAUUAACAACCCAGUUUUCUAUAACGGAGCUUUCUACUGCUUAGAUUAUAAUGGAAUGUUAGGAGUUUUUAACAUGGAAGGUGAUUCCAGUUGGAAAGUACUUUCGAAGUCGUUGAAACAAUUCAGUGGUUUUUAUCCUAGUUAUCUGGUGGAGUGUGAUGAAAAGCUACUAUUAGUGAAUUUAGGGCAGAGUGGGAAACCCGUAGAUAUUUAUAGAUUGGAUGAUUCGGAGAUGGUCUGGGUAAAAUUGAACAGUUUGGGAAAGCUUGCAUUAUUCAUCAGCUAUACAUCCAGUUUUUCAGCGGUUUCUCCACGUAGUUGCAUGGAGAACAAUAUCUACUUCCCGAGAUUACAAGGCGAAAGGAUUUUAUACUAUUCUCUUGAUACAUGCAGGUAUCAUUUUGUAGGGGGUAAUCAACAUUCCACGCAAGAUUUUCAUAAGACGAAGGAAAGGUCAAACUGCACUUGGAUUGAGCCUAGAUGGUCUUAGGCAAAUCGUAAUCAAGAGCCUGACUUAGCAUCUAAAACCCAGUACUAUUUGUCUCCUGUAACUUCUGUGGCACAUACAGUAGUGGCUUAUGUAUAUGUGGUGGAGUCAGGCUGCCACUUAAUUUCUUUGGGUCUCACUGUACUAUAUAAUUCAGUUGGAGUGUUGGUCUUUGGGUUAGCGCAUUAUUCAUAUUUGGAGUUCGAACUCAUGGCAGACGAACUUCUGAUGAGCAACUCUGAGAUCGAGGUUCAUUGUCGAGCUAUGGGUUCAUUGUCCAAGUUUGUCUGAUGGAGAAAGUUCUGCAAGAAUAACAAAAACCAUUAUGGGAAAAAGAGGUCUAGGGGGUGGUUCUGGUGGAUCUGUUCUCUUGUUUUUGCAUACACUCGCACUCGAUGAUGUUGCCAGGAGUGUUGGGGACAUGUCAGUUGUGAUGGUGGUGGCCUGGUGGAGUGGAGGUGUUGGAAGGGUUCAUUUUCAUUGAUCUGACAUUCCCGUUGGAGAUGAUUAUCAGCCGCUAGCAAGUGUCAAAGGAAGAUUUGAAACAGAGAUCAGGUAGAGAUAAUGGUCUUGAUGGAGAAAGUGGGACUGUAACAGGAAAAGCUUGUCCAGAAGGGCUCUUUGGGUCAUUUUGUGAGGCAUGCCACACUGGCACCUAUAAGAAUGUCAGCGGAUCUGAUAACUCUCUUUGUUGUCAGUGCCCUCCUUUUGAGCUUCCACAUCGUGCCCUAUGCAUAACUGUGCGAGGUGAUGUUGCUGAAACUCCUUGUCCUUACAAUUGUGUUUCUGAUAGAUAUCAUAUGCCAAAUUGUUAUACAUCUGUUGAAGAAUUGAUAUAUACUUUUGGAGGGCCAUGGUUAUUUGGUCUUCUUCUCAUGGGUCUCCUCAUUCUGCUAGCUCUAGUUCUUAGUGUUGCACGUUUGAAAUUCUUUGGCGCUGAUGAACUACCUGGCCCAGCUCCCACUCAACAUGGCUGCCAAAUAGAUCCCGGCCAGCAACAACAAGUCCUGUGGAUCCUCAAUUCUAGCUUGUUCGCUGAACUUGGGCACAUAUCCCCCUCCUUUUUUGUUUUUUCUUGAAAAUUAGUAAUGGUGUCGUUGUCAAGUGAAGUACAUGUUGGGUGCAAUAAUCAAAAACAAAGAAA